GCAUUGGGACCCCAGGUCAGGCGGGAAUACCCGCUGAGUUUAAGAUAC
rnacentral:rRNA from 1 species